CCCAAGCUGGUCUCAAACUCCUGAGCUCAAGCCAUCCACCCACCUCGGCCUCCCCAAAUCCUGGGAUUACAGAUGCGAACUACCGUGCUGGGCCUAAUCUUACUGUUUUAAUGUAAAAAUGGACAGUCUUGAGGAAGACAGAUUGGAAAGCAGAGAGACACAGUGUGAAAUCGCUGCUCUCAGAUCAGCACACGGGAGAGGCCAGCAGUCAGGAGGGGGCUCACCGAGUUUGUCUGCACUCGCUCCCUCCGCAGCCGCCCUCUCCAGCUGGAAGAAGUCGUAAUCGAACCUGCUCAGGUCCUCACUGCCCCACUCCGAAGGAAACCCCACGUACAGUGACCGUCACUUUACCGUCGGCAUUUGUGAAGGAAGCGUGUUUAUCUGAAAUUCUAAGAAGAUGAGAGUCAAAGACACCCAGCAAACGGCGGUUUCCGUGAGCAGGUAGGCUGACCUUUCUCAUGUGCACAGGAGGGAAGGUCUACAGCUGCGGAGGAUGGCAGGUGGCAUCUCGGGGCCUCCUGUGUGCUGUGGCCCAUGAUGCAUGGGGACAGCAGCGGGCGCAGAAGGACCCUGCCCUUGGGGAGCACGGGGAGCUGGGAGACAGCAGGCAAGGGCUUCAUUAACAGAACGAACACCAGCUGAGGGCCUAGCACUGCGGGGAGCCGGCCAAGGCCACACUGGAGUCCUCCCGCUCCCAGGCCAGCGGGAUGGGGUGGUGGGAAGAUGGCAGCAAGCAAGCUUCAGAAGAGACGCUCAGGAGGCGACUCUUAACGAGCCUCAC
rnacentral:lncRNA from 10 species